rnacentral:rRNA from 1 species
AUUGAACGCUGGCGGCAGGCCUAACACAUGCAAGUCGAACGAACCGCGGACGGGUGAGUAAUGUAUGGGGCUCUGCCCGAUAGAGGGGGAUACCUACCGGAAACGGUGGCUAAUACCGCCUACAAUCGGAGGAACCCAUAUGGGCUUAGCUAGUAGGUGGGGCAAAGGCUCACCUAGGCGACGAUCUCUUGCUGGUUUGAGAGGACGACCAGCCACACUGGGACUGAGACACGGCCCAGACUCCUACGGGAGGCAGCAGUGGGGAAUAUUGCACAAUGGGGGAAAGCCUGAUGCAGCCAUCCCGCGUGUAUGAAGAAGGCCUUAGGGUUGUAAAGUACUUUCAGCGGGGAGGCGGUACCCGCAGAAUAAGCACCGGCUAACUCCGUGCCAGCAGCCGCGGUAAUUC